rnacentral:rRNA from 1 species
UACGAAGGGGGCUAGCGUUGUUCGGAAUUACUGGGCGUAAAGCGCGCGCAGGCGGUCUUCCAAGUCAGUGGUGAAAGCCCGGAGCUCAACUCCGGAACUGCCAUUGAAACUGUAAGACUUGAGGAUGAGAGAGGUGAGUAGAAUUCCCAGUGUAGAGGUGAAAUUCGUAGAUAUUGGGAAGAACACCGGUGGCGAAGGCGGCUCACUGGCUCAUAUCUGACGCUCAGGCGCGACAGCGUGGGGAUCAAACAGG